rnacentral:rRNA from 1 species
AUGAACGCUAGCGACAGGCCUAACACAUGCAAGUCGAGGGGCAGCACAAGGAGCAAUCUGAGGUGGCGACCGGCGCACGGGUGAGUAACACGUAUGCAACCUGCCUGUAAGCGGGGAAUAACCCGUUGAAAGACGGACUAAUACCGCAUAAUACUAAAUUACUGCAUGGUAAUUUAUUUAAACAUUUAUGGCUUACAGAUGGGCAUGCGCAUGAUUAGCUAGUUGGAGAGGUAACGGCUCCCCAAGGCAACGAUCAUUAGGGGUUCUGAGAGGAAGGUCCCUCACACUGGUACUGAGACACGGACCAGACUCCUACGGGAGGCAGCAGUGAGGAAUAUUGGUCAAUGGACGAGAGUCUGAACCAGCCAAGUCGCGUGCAGGAAGAAUGUCCUAAUGGAUUGUAAACUGCUUUUGCAGGGGAAUAAAGUGCAUCACGUGUGAUGUUUUGUAUGUACUCUGCGAAUAAGGAUCGGCUAACUCCGUGCCAGCAGCUGC